UACGGGGGGGGCAAGCGUUGUUCGGAAUUACUGGGCGUAAAGCGUGCGUAGGCGGUUUGUUAAGUCUGUCGUGAAAGCCCCGGGCUCAACCUGGGAAUGGCGAUGGAUACUGGCGAGCUAGAGUACGGUAGAGGAGAGUGGAAUUCCCGGUGUAGCAGUGAAAUGCGUAGAGAUCGGGAGGAACAUCAGUUGCGAAGGCGGCUCUCUGGACCAGUACUGACGCUGAGGCACGAAAGCGUGGGAGCAAACAGG
rnacentral:rRNA from 1 species